AUUGUCAAAAGGGAAACAACCCAGACCACCAGCUAAGGUCCCUAAUCAUAACUAAGUGGGAAAGGAGGUGGAGAUUCAUAAACAACCAGGAGGUUGGCUUAGAAGCAGCCAUACCUUUAAAGAGUGCGUAAUAGCUCACUGGUCGAGAGUCUCUGCGCCGACAAUGUAACGGGGCUAAGUUAUGAACCGAAGCUGUGGAAUUGCGCAAGCAAUUGGUAGGAGAGCGUUCUGUAGGCCGUUGAAGGAGAAGCGUAAGCAACUCUGGAGGUAUCAGAAGUGAGAAUGCAGGAAUAAGUAGCGAGAAGGGAGGCGAGAAUCCUCCCCGCCGGAAGACCAAGGUUUUCAGGGUAAAGCUUGUCUUCCCUGAGUAAGCCGGGACCUAAGCCGAGGCUAUAGUGCGUAGGCGAAUGGAAAACAGAUUAAUAUUUCUGUGCCAGUCAUAUUUUGUGAUGGAGGGACGCAGAAGGGUAUGUACGCGGAAGAACGGUAGUUUCCGUAAAAGCAUGUAGAAUGACUUGAUAGGUAAAUCCGUCAAGUUAGAUUUGAGGUGUGAUAUAUAGUCGUAAGAUGAAUGUACAAAUCCCACGCUGCCGAGAAAAGCUUCUAACGUUAAGGUAUGACUGCCCGUACCCGAAACCGACACAGGUGGUCAGGAUGAGAAAUCUAAGGCGGACAGGCUAACUCUCGUUAAGGAACUCUGCAAAAUUGCCCCGUAACUUCGGGAGAAGGGGUGCCCCUGAGUGUGAGCAUACACGCGAUGUUAAGCGCUUGGGGGUCGCAGUGAAGAGGCUCAAGCAACUGUUUAACAAAAACACAGGUCUAUGCUAAGCUGUAAGGCGAUGUAUAUGGGCUGACACCUGCCCAGUGCCGGAAGGUUAAGAGGAGGAGUGAGAGCUCCGAAUUGAAGCCCCGGUGAACGGCGGCCGUAACUAUAACGGUCCUAAGGUAGCGAAAUUCCUUGUCGGGUAAGUUCCGACCUGCACGAAUGGUGUAAUGAUUUGAGCGCUGUCUUGACGGGAGGCCUGGUGAAAUUGUAUUACCGGUGAAGAUACCGGUUACCUACAGUAGGACGGAAAGACCCCAUGGAGCUUUACUGUAGCUUGGUAUUGGGUUUUGGCAUUGCAUGUAUAGGAUAGUUGGGAAACUAUGAUGGUAUGGCGCUAGCUAUAUCGGAGUUGUCGGUGGAAUACCAACCAUUCAAUGUUGAAAUUCUAAUCUGUGGUUUGGAGCCACGGAGACAGUGCUAGGUGGGCAGUUUGACUGGGGCGGUCGCCUCCGAAAGAGUAACGGAGGCGUUCAAAGGUUCUCUCAGGUUGGAUGGAAAUCAACCGCAGAGUGCAAUGGCAUAAGAGAGCUUGACUGCGAGACUGACGGGUCGAGCAGGUGCGAAAGCAGGACAUAGUGAUCCGGCGAUUCCGAAUGGAAGGAUCGUCGCUCAACGGAUAAAAGCUACCCUGGGGAUAACAGGCUGAUCCUACCCGAGAGUCCAUAUCGACGGUAGGGUUUGGCACCUCGAUGUCGGCUCAUCGCAUCCUGGGGCUGGAGAAGGUCCCAAGGGUUGGGCUGUUCGCCCAUUAAAGCGGUACGUGAGCUGGGUUCAGAACGUCGUGAGACAGUUCGGUCCCUAUCCACUGUAGGCGUUAGAAUAUUGAGAAGAUCUGUCCUUAGUACGAGAGGACCGGGAUGGACAAACCUCUGAUGUACCAGUUGUCACGCCAGUGGCACAGCUGGGUAGUCACGUUUGGAACAGAUAACCGCUGAAAGCAUCUAAGCGGGAAACUGACUUCAAGAUAAGUAUUCU
rnacentral:rRNA from 1 species